UACAAAUCAUUGAUUGGGGAUAGUACAGCUUGAAAGUCUUUCAGAGAGCCUGCGUUGGAUUUUAUAAGUCUAAAAUCCUAGGUGUGAGCAGGUAAGGUGGACAUUCUGGAAUGGGCCCAUGAGAGCAGCUUGAAUUACAGUAGACGCUGACGUACUUUUCCUACGUUACAAGGAAACGAAUAUAUAUGUAUUCGAGCAAGAGGACUGCGUACGCAGUCAAUUUGGGUGGUACCGCAGGUAGACUCCUGUCCCAAUA
rnacentral:ncRNA from 1 species